GUCACUGUAGCUCAGUGGUUAGAGCAUCCGACCAGUGUGCGGAAGGUCAUGGAUUCGAUUUCUUUGUCUCGUGACA